AAUGAUGUAGCUCAGUUGGUUGAACUCGGGUCUACGACUCGAGAGGUCCCAGUUUCGAUUCCGGGUGUGGUCA
rnacentral:tRNA from 1 species